rnacentral:lncRNA from 1 species
UGUCCCCUUACAAAUCGGUCCUAGGCCUUAUAUAGCCAAAAAUACAAGUGGCUAAUUCACUAUUGUUUAAUCACUCUUCGUGUUGCUCUGCCUUUCUGUUUCUCAGUUACUGUUCCCUUUUCUACUUUUGUUUCUCUUCUUGGCUUCCUUUUGCAGGUGUAUAACGGGUCAACUGGUUGUGGGUGGUCAUUUUGGUGCAACGGGGGCGAGAAGAGCCGCACUUCGGGCGUUGGAUGCGCCGACGACGUACAUGGGGAGGGUACGGUGCUAGUGGGGGGCUGAAGUGACCUGAUACGGUGCCUAGGGUCCUCCCUCCAUUCAUUGCUGGAAAAUAUUUUGUGGGCUAGGGUUUUAGUUUUAGGUUUGGGCUUAGUUGGGUUUGGUUUUGGGUCUUUGUAAUGGGUUUGGUUUG